rnacentral:tRNA from 1 species
AUCAAUAUAAUAUAAAAAUUAUAUCUAACUUCCAAUUAGAAAAUCUCUUAUGGAGUAUUGUUA